rnacentral:pre_miRNA from 1 species
UACGUACUCCCUCCGUUCGGAAUUACUUGUCGUAGAAAUGGAUGUAUGUAGACAUUUUUUAGUUCUAGAUACAUCCAUUUCUGCGACAAGUAAUUCAGGACGGAGGGAGUACCUA